rnacentral:rRNA from 1 species
GACGAACCGUCCAAACGUUAUUCGGAAUUACUGGGCUUAAAGGGUGCGUAGGCGGCGCGGUAAGUUGGAUGUGAAAUCCCUCGGCUUAACCGAGGAACUGCGUUCAAAACUACCGUGCUCGAGGGAGAUAGAGGUGAGCGGAACUUAGGGUGGAGCGGUGAAAUGCGUUGAUAUCCUAAGGAACACCGGUGGCGAAAGCGGCUCACUGGAUCUUUUCUGACGCUGAGGCACGAAAGCUAGGGUAGCGAACGGG